rnacentral:misc_RNA from 1 species
UUUCCGUAGGUGAACCUGCGGAAGGAUCAUUACCGAGUGAGGGCCCUCUGGGUCCAACCUCCCACCCGUGUUUAUUUUACCUUGUUGCUUCGGCGAGCCUGCCUUCGGGCUGCCGGGGGGCAUCUGCCCCCGGGUCCGCGCUCGCCGGAGACACCUUGAACUCUGUCUGAAGAUUGUAGUCUGAGACAAAAUAUAAAUUAUUUAAAACUUUCAACAACGGAUCUCUUGGUUCCG